CGGCCCCUCCACGCCUGGACGCUCCGGCGCCCGUAGGAGCCGCCGCGGGCCUCAGCUGCCAGGGCCGCCUCAGAAACGGAGCCUGGCUCUCCGACCUCCCGAAGAGGGAAGCUGGAGAUCCAGGCUUCCGCCCCAGGCGGUUGCGAGGCCGUGCGUGCUCCCGGGCCUCUGCCGCAGCCCUGCCCUCGUCUCCGACCGCUCCUCCGACCUCCAGCCUCCCUGAGUUGCCUGCCGACCUGUCCACCCCAGCAGGCUGUGAGACCCCUGGUCCUUGCAGCGUCCCCACUUAGCGACAGAGCCAGGGCGGGAGCCCUGUGAGGGAGUGCCCCGAAGGCCUGUGUCCGGAGUGGGCAACUGAGGUUCUGCUGCUGAUUCCUCCAGUGUGGAGCGAGGCCUGGUGUUCCAGAUCCUCCCUCCCUCCCAGGGAAGCCAGAACUCAAGAUUUCAAUACGGAAACCCUUGGUUUGCAGAUGUACAACCCAAGCCCGGCACAGCCGCACUCCACCCAGUCUGGGAGCUGCCCAGUUGCGAAUUUUUCAAUAAUAAUGACAGCAAACACA